GGGCAAGUGGCACAGUGGUAGCGCGCCUGCUUCGCAUCUCUGCGGGGUCGAUUGCAUGAGGUCCUGGGUUCAAUCCCCAGCUUGUCCA
rnacentral:tRNA from 1 species